rnacentral:rRNA from 1 species
CUUAACCUACAGACUGCGUUUGAAACUGUAUAUCUUGAGAGCAGCAGAGGAAGGCGGAAUUCCUGGUGUAGUGGUGAAAUACGUAGAUAUCAGGAAGAACACCAGUGGCGAAGGCGGUCUUCUGGGCUGCAUCUGACGCUCAUGUACGAAAGCUGGGGUAGCGAACGGGAUUAGAUACCCCGGUAGUCCCAGCUGUAAACGAUGGACACUAGGUGUUGGCGGUUCGAAUCCGUCAGUGCCGGAGUUAACGCAUUAAGUGUCCCGCCUGGGGAAUACGGUCGCAAGACUGAAACUCAAAGGAAUUGACGGGGGCCCGCACAAGCGGUGGAGCAUGUGGUUUAAUUCGAUGCAACGCGAAGAACCUUACCGAGAAUUGACAUCCCGUGACUACCUGUGAGAGCAGGGUUUGGUACUUUGUAUCACAC